rnacentral:rRNA from 1 species
GUGGGGAAUAUUCCGCAAUGGACGAAAGUCUGACGGAGCAACGCCGCGUGAGUGAUGAAGGUUUUCGGACUGUAAAGCUCUGUUGUUUAGGACGAAAGUGCCUGUUGCAAAUAGUUACAGGUAUUGACGGUACUGAACGAGGAAGCCACGGCUAACUACGUGCCAGCAGCCGCGGUAAUACGUAGGUGGCAAGCGUUGUCCGGACUUAUUGGGCGUAAAGAGCAUGUAGGCGGGAAUCUAAGUCUGUUGUUAAAAUGCGGGGCUCAACCCCGUAUUGCGAUGGAAACUGGGUUUCUUGAGUGCAGGAGAGGAAAGGGGAAUUCCCAGUGUAGCGGUGAAAUGCGUAGAUAUUGGGAGGAACACCAGUGGCGAAGGCGCCUUUCUGGACUGUGUCUGACGCUGAGAUGCGAAAGCCAGGGUAGCGAACGGGAUUAGAAACCCCGGUAGUCC